rnacentral:rRNA from 1 species
UUUAUUGGAGAGUUUGAUCCUGGCUCAGGAUGAACGCUGGCGGCGUGCCUAAUACAUGCAAGUCGAGCGAAUGGAUUAAGAGCUUGCUCUUAUGAAGUUAGCGGCGGACGGGUGAGUAACACGUGGGUAACCUGCCCAUAAGACUGGGAUAACUCCGGGAAACCGGGGCUAAUACCGGAUAACAUUUUGAACCGCAUGGUUCGAAAUUGAAAGGCGGCUUCGGCUGUCACUUAUGGAUGGACCCGCGUCGCAUUAGCUAGUUGGUGAGGUAACGGCUCACCAAGGCAACGAUGCGUAGCCGACCUGAGAGGGUGAUCGGCCACACUGGGACUGAGACACGGCCCAGACUCCUACGGGAGGCAGCAGUAGGGAAUCUUCCGCAAUGGACGAAAGUCUGACGGAGCAACGCCGCGUGAGUGAUGAA